UACGUAGGUGGCAAGCGUUGUCCGGAAUUAUUGGGCGUAAAGCGCGCGCAGGCGGUCCUUUAAGUCUGAUGUGAAAGCCCACGGCUCAACCGUGGAGGGUCAUUGGAAACUGGGGGACUUGAGUACAGAAGAGGAAAGCGGAAUUCCAGGUGUAGCGGUGAAAUGCGUAGAUAUCUGGAGGAACACCGGUGGCGAAGGCGGCAUCCUGGACCGGUAUUGACGCUGAGGCGCGAAAGCUAGGGGAGCAAACGGG
rnacentral:rRNA from 1 species